AUCCACAUUCUCCGAUUUUUCCAAGCGCGUGCUAUCUGCAAGUCGAGCGGACAGAUGGGAGCUUGCUCCCUGAUGUUAGCGGCGGACGGGUGAGUAACACGUGGGUAACCUGCCUGUAAGACUGGGAUAACUCCGGGAAACCGGGGCUAAUACCGGAUGGUUGUUUGAACCGCAUGGUUCAAACAUAAAAGGUGGCUUCGGCUACCACUUACCCCUGGACCCGCGGCGCAUUAGCUAUUUGGUGAGGUAACGGCUCACCAAGGCAACGAUGCGUAACCAACCUGAAAG
rnacentral:rRNA from 1 species